AUUAUUAUUUUUAUUUUAUUUUAUUAUUUUCACAGGUCUUGUGAAUAUGCGUACAAAGUGAAAAAUUGGUUAAGUAUGAAAGGAUCUUGACAAAAUCCAAAAUAUUAAAAAGUUAAUAAAAAUUAAUAAAAGAUUGUCUUAAGCUCAGACACCACUUAUGUUACAUUUAUAAGGUUAUAGUGUAUUGUUUUAGAUCAAUCCCAUUUAAACAACAACUACUCAAAUACUUCCUCCGUUCCUAAAUAGUUGCACCGUUUUGACUCUCACGUUUGCCAACGCGUAACUUUGACCAUCACUACAAAAAAAACAUGAUAUAACGACGGAUUUGAGCGACCGAAGUUUUAACCAUCGCUAAGCUAGCGAUAGACUUUGAGGAUCUGUCGCAAAUUUCUUUCAACGACGGAUAAUAAUUUAUUUGUCGCAAGCUGAGCGACGGAUUAUUUAAUCCGUUUCUAGUACAACUACAGACUUUUAUUUCCGUUGCUGGUCCAACGACAGAUAUUAAUUUCCGAAGCUAUACCAGCUACGGAUUUUUAUUUCCGUAGCUAUUCCAGCUACAGAUUUUUAUUUCCGUAGCUAGACCAGCUACAAACUUUUAUUUUCGUUGCUGGACUCAGCGAUGGAAACUCCAUUUCCGUUGCAAGAUUUUUAUUAUUUUCUUUAUUUAACUUAAACUGAAAAUCGACAACCCAACUCACAUAGUAUAUAAAUAAAUAUUUAGGGUUAUAUUGCGCCUCUCUUCUCCUUUCUCUCAAUAGCCCCUUCUCCCUCCUUUCUAAUAUCCACUCUGAAUCGAUCUGUCUCUUCCCAUGUUAGACUUUGAUGGGGUUUGCUGAGAUCUUCGACGACAAGAAGGAACACAUAUCAAUUGUCAUUUUCUCUCUUUCUAGUCUCUAUUCAUUGAUCUUUUUAGAGAUGAGGAGAGAGAAAGAAGAGAAGUGGGUAUUCUGAAUUUUAAUGGACGAAUUGCAUUUGCGUCUCUUACUUUGGAUGGAAUGUAAAUAUAUGUAGUCAAUUUGAUCGAUAGAUGUAGAUAGAAACUAAAAUUAGAGUCUGAAGAUGUUUUUGAGCAAAGAAGACGGAGAAAAUCGAGACUGUGUUUACAUUAAGAAUCUUAAGAUAUUACAUAUCAAGUUUGUAUAUAGUUCUAUUAUUUGUAUAUUACAAAUCAAGUUUGUAAUGCAAUUGAAAAGUGUAUAUCUAUAAAAACAUCCGAAAAUUUAUGGAAUUCA